rnacentral:lncRNA from 1 species
GGAAGCAGGCCAGCCUGCCAGAGCCCAGGAACAGGUGAAAGGACCUGCUGAAGCUCACACCCGUGGACCACCCAGACUGCCUGCCGCUACAGGAUGCCCUCCGCAUCUCCCAGGACUUCUUUCCGGCAUCAGUGUGGACAUUGACCCCACUGGACUGCAGUCACAGUGGACUCCCAAGGGGCAGGAUCCACCUCUGAUGUUCAGUGAAGACUACCAGAAAAGUCUGCUAGAGCAGUACCAUCUGGGUCUGGAUCAAAAACUCAGAAAAUACGUGGUUGGAGAGCUCAUCUGGAAUUUUGCCGAUUUCAUGACUAACCAGUGUUCCUGCUCCAGCGUGGCUCCUGGACUGGCGCCAGAUGCUGGCCCUGGGGGUUUCAAUCCAAGCAUAAUUCAGUGAAGCAUGUGUUUGGCAGUGGGACCCAGCUCACUGUUUUAGGUCAGCCCAAGACUACCCCGUCGGUCAUUCUGUUCCUGCCGUCCUGUGAGGAGCCCCAAGCCAACAAGGCCACACUGGUGUGUCUCAUGAAUAACUUUAUCCGGGAAUCUUGAUGGUGACCUGGAAGGCAGAUGGUACCCUCAUCACCCAGAGCGUGGAGAAGACCACGCCCUCCAAACAGAGCAACAACAAGUACGUGGCCAGCAGCUACCUGAGCCUGACGCCCGAGCAGUGGAGGUCCCGCAGAAGCUACAGCUGCCAGGUUAUGCAAGAAGGGAGCACCGUGGAGAAGUCAGUGGCCCCUGCAGAAUGUUCAUAGGUUCCAGCCCCCACCCCACCCACAGGGGCCUGGAGCUGCAGGAUCCCAGGGGAGGGGUCUCUCUCUGCAUCCCAAGCCAUUCAGCCCUUCUCGCUGUACCCAGUAAACCCUCAAUAAAUAUCUUUGUCAGC